AUUGAACGCUGGCGGCAUGCCUUACACAUGCAAGUCGAACGGCAGCACGGGUGCUUGCACCUGGUGGCGAGUGGCGAACGGGUGAGUAAUACAUCGGAACAUGUCCUGUAGUGGGGGAUAGCCCGGCGAAAGCCGGAUUAAUACCGCAUACGAUCUACGGAUGAAAGCGGGGGACCUUCGGGCCUCGCGCUAUAGGGUUGGCCGAUGGCUGAUUAGCUAGUUGGUGGGGUAAAGGCCUACCACGGCGACGAUCAGUAGCUGGUCUGAGAGGACGACCAGCCACACUGGGACUGAGACACGGCCCAGACUCCUACGGGAGGCAGCAGUGGGGAAUUUUGGACAAUGGGCGAAAGCCUGAUCCAGCAAUGCCGCGUGUGUGAAGAAGGCCUUCGGGUUGUAAAGCACUUUUGUCCGGAAAGAAAUCCUUGGCCCUAAUACGGUCGGGGGAUGACGGUACCGGAAGAAUAAGCACCGGCUAACUACGUG
rnacentral:rRNA from 1 species